rnacentral:rRNA from 1 species
CGCUAGCUACAGGCUUAACACAUGCAAGUCGAGGGGCAGCAUUUCAGUUUGCUUGCAAACUGGAGAUGGCGACCGGCGCACGGGUGAGUAACACGUAUCCAACCUGCCGAUAACUCGGGGAUAGCCUUUCGAAAGAAAGAUUAAUACCCGAUAGUAUAAUGAAACCGCAUGGUCUUAUUAUUAAAGAAUUUCGGUUAUCAAUGGGGAUGCGUUCCAUUAGGCAGUUGGUGAGGUAACGGCUCACCAAACCUUCGAUGGGUAGGGGUUCUGAGAGGAAGGUCCCCCACACUGGUACUGAGACACGGACCAGACUCCUACGGGAGGCAGCAGUGAGGAAUAUUGGUCAAUGGUCGAGAGACUGAACCAGCCAAGUCGCGUGAGGGAUGACUGCCCUAUGGGUUGUAAACCUCUUUUCUACUGGGAGAAUAAGCCUUAUGUAUAAGGUGAUGACAGUACAGUAGGAAUAAGCAUCGGCUAACUCCGUGCCAGCAGCCGCGGUAAUACGGAGGAUGCGAGCGUUAUCCGGAUUUAUUGGGUUUAAAGGGUGCGUAGGCGGCUUUAUAAGUUAGUGGUAAAAUUUCGGAGCUUCACUCCGGUCCGCCAUUAAAACUGUAGAGCUAGAGAAUGGACGAGGUAGGCGGAAUAAGUUAAGUAGCGGUGAAAUGCAUAGAUAUAACUUAGAACUCCGAUAGCGAAGGCAGCUUACCAGACCAUAACUGACGCUGAUGCACGAGAGCGUGGGUAGCGAACAGGAUUAGAUACCCUGGUAGUCCACGCCGUAAACGAUGCUCACCGGCCCUUAGCGAUAAGACAGUUAGGGGUUAAUUGAAAGAAUUAAGUGAGCCACCUGGGGAGUACGUCGGCAACGAUGAAACUCAAAGGAAUUGACGGGGGCCCGCACAAGCGGAGGAACAUGUGGUUUAAUUCGAUGAUACGCGAGGAACCUUACCUGGGUUUAAAUGUAUAUUGCAUAAUCUGGAAACAGUUUUUCUCUUCGGAGCUAUAUACAAGGUGCUGCAUGGUUGUCGUCAGCUCGUGCCGUGAGGCGUCGGGUUAAGUCCCAUAACGAGCGCAACCCUUACCGUUAGUUGCUAACAUGUAAUGAUGAGCACUCUAGCGGGACUGCCACCGUAAGGUGAGAGGAAGGGGGGGAUGACGUCAAAUCAGCACGGCCCUUACAUCCAGGGCGACACACGUGUUACAAUGGCCAUAACAGCGGGUAGCUACCGGGUGACCGGAUGCAAAUCUCGAAAAUUGGUCUAAGUUCGGAUUGGAGUCUGCAACCCGACUCCAUGAAGUUGGAUUCGCUAGUAAUCGCGCAUCAGCCAUGGCGCGGUGAAUACGUUCCCGGGCCUUGUACACACCGCCCGUCAAGCCAUGGAAGCUGGGAGUACCUGAAGUCCGUAACCGCGAGGAUCGGCCUAGGGUAAUACCGGUAACU